AACACAUGCAAGUCGAACGGCAGCACGGGUGCUUGCACCUGGUGGCGAGUGGCGAACGGGUGAGUAAUACAUCGGAACAUGUCCUGUAGUGGGGGAUAGCCCGGCGAAAGCCGGAUUAAUACCGCAUACGAUCCACGGAUGAAAGCGGGGGACCUUCGGGCCUCGCGCUAUAGGGUUGGCCGAUGGCUGAUUAGCUAGUUGGUGGGGUAAAGGCCUACCAAGGCGACGAUCAGUAGCUGGUCUGAGAGGACGACCAGCCACACUGGGACUGAGACACGGCCCAGACUCCUACGGGAGGCAGCAGUGGGGAAUUUUGGGCAAUGGGCGAAAGCCUGAUCCAGCAAUGCCGCGUGUGUUAAGUAGGCCUUCGGGUUGUAAAGCACUUUUGUCCGGAAAGAAAUCUGACUCUAAUACAGUCGGGGAU
rnacentral:rRNA from 1 species